UACACGCUGUGACUAGCAUAUCAAUAAGCGGAGGAAAAGAAACUAACAAGGAUUCCCCUAGUAACGGCGAGUGAAGCGGGAAGAGCUCAAAUUUGAAAUCUUAAAGGGUUUCCCUUUACGAAUUGUAGUUUAAAGAAGUGUUUUCUGUUGAGGUUUUGGUAAAAGUUCCUUGGAAUAGGACAUCAUAGAGGGUGAGAAUCCCGUAUUUGACCUUUACUUUCAACUUUGUGAUACACUUUCAAAGAGUCGGAUUGUUUGGGAAUGCAGUCCAAAAUGGGUGGUAAAUUUCAUCUAAAGCUAAAUAUUGGCGAGAGACCGAUAGCGAACAAGUACCGUGAGGGAAAGAUGAAAAGAACUUUGAAAAGAGAGUUAAACAGUACGUGAAAUUGUCAAAAGGGAAGCGUUUGACACCAGUGUUGUUUUUCUGAAAAUCAAUUAAAGAACUGUUUAUGCUAAGCUGUUUAGACUUUAUCAGCUAACUGUUUAGUUUUGAGCUUUCCUUUAAUGCACUUUUCAGUUAACAAGUCAACAUCAAUUUCUUUUGCUGUAAAAAAGCUUGAGGAAGGUGGCUUGAGAUUCGUCUUAAGUGUUUAUAGCCUCUUGCCUAUGCAGUCGGAGAGAUUGAGGUCUGCAGCGUAGAUCCUUCGGGGCUAAAUGCAUUUGUGCUAAGUUAUAGCAUUUUAUAGACAACUUGUUGACUAUGAUUUGUCUUGUAGCUUACUCGCUUAUGUUAUUUUACCUACGCUUAGGAUGUUGAGUCGUAGAGCACGCAG
rnacentral:rRNA from 1 species